GGAUGUGAGGGCGAUCUGGCUGCGACAUCUGUCACCCCAUUGAUCGCCAGGGUGGAUUCGGCUGAUCUGGCUGGCUAGGCGGGUGUCCCCUUUCUCCCUCACCGCUCCAUGUGCGUCCCUCCCGAAGCUGCGCGCUCAGUCGAAGAGGACGGCCUUCCCCGAAUAGAGACGGACCGGUCUUCGGUCCAGGGUAUAGGAGUAGCUGCGCUCCCCUGCUAGAACCUCCAAACAAGCUCUCAAGGAUCCCAGUCAGCCCCGACUCCCCACCUGCAGGGGAGUCGCUUCACAAGCGGUGAAG
rnacentral:snRNA from 1 species